GCCAGCAUGGUGUAGUGGUUUGCACACUGGACUACAACCCUGAAGACCAGGGUUCAAAUUCCUGAUUGGUCA